AAAUUAAAGAGUUUGAUCAUGGCUCAGAUUGAACGCUGGCGGCAGGCCUAACACAUGCAAGUCGAACGGUAACAGGAAGCAGCUUGCUGCUUCGCUGAC
rnacentral:rRNA from 1 species